UGCAAGUCGAACGGAACUGUUUUGAAAGAUUUCUUCGGAAUGAAUUUGAUUUAGUUUAGUGGCGGACGGGUGAGUAACGCGUGAGUAACCUGCCUUCAAGAGGGGGAUAACAUUCUGAAAAGAAUGCUAAUACCGCAUGACAUAUCGGAAUCACAUGAUUUUGAUAUCAAAGAUUUUAUCGCUUGAAGAUGGACUCGCGUCCGAUUAGUUAGUUGGUGAGGUAACGGCUCACCAAGACCGCGAUCGGUAGCCGGACUGAGAGGUUGAACGGCCACAUUGGGACUGAGACACGGCCCAGACUCCUACGGGAGGCAGCAGUGGGGGAUAUUGCGCAAUGGGGGCAACCCUGACGCAGCAACGCCGCGUGAAGGAUGAAGGUUUUCGGAUUGUAAACUUCUUUUAUUAAGGACGAAAAAUGACGGUACUUAAUGAAUAAGCUCCGGCUAACUACGUGCCAGCAGCCGCGGUAAUACGUAGGGAGCAAGCGUUGUCCGGAUUUACUGGGUGUAAAGGGUGCGUAGGCGGCUUUGCAAGUCAGAUGUGAAAUCUAUGGGCUCAACCCAUAAACUGCAUUUGAAACUGUAGAGCUUGAGUGAAGUAGAGGCAGGCGGAAUUCCCCGUGUAGCGGUGAAAUGCGUAGAGAUGGGGAGGAACACCAGUGGCGAAGGCGGCCUGCUGGGCUUUAACUGACGCUGAGGCACGAAAGCGUGGGUAGCAAACAGGAUUAGAUACCCUGGUAGUCC
rnacentral:rRNA from 1 species